UGGGGAAUAUUGCGCAAUGGGGGAAACCCUGACGCAGCAACGCCGCGUGAAGGAUGAAGGUCUUCGGAUUGUAAACUUCUUUGAUGAGGGAAGAAAAAAUGACGGUACCUCAAAAACAAGCCACGGCUAACUACGUGCCAGCAGCCGCGGUAAUACGUAGGUGGCGAGCGUUGUCCGGAAUUACUGGGUGUAAAGGGCGUGUAGGCGGGAUUGCAAGUCAGAUGUGAAAUUCCGGGGCUUAACCACGGGGCUGCAUCUGAAACUGUGUUUCUUGAGUGUCGGAGAGGAGAGUGGAAUUCCCAGUGUAGCGGUGAAAUGCGUAGAUAUUGGGAGGAACACCAGUGGCGAAGGCGACUUUCUGGACGAUAACUGACGCUGAGGCGCGAAAGCGUGGGGAGCAAACA
rnacentral:rRNA from 1 species